UCUAGAGGCAAAUUCUGCCAGCCUGGGUGUC
rnacentral:piRNA from 1 species